rnacentral:pre_miRNA from 1 species
AUUAUUAGGACCUGAUCCAAAGCCUAAUGAAGUCAAUGGGAGACGUUCCAUGGACUUCAAUAGGUUUUGGAUCAGAUCUUUAU